CAAAACUCCAACCCCUUCUCCUCUUCAAACCCUAACAUCUCAUCUCUACAUUCCCUUCUUUCACGCUCUUGGAUCGUGCUAAUCUUGCAGAUCUACAAAUCGUUGAAAUUUCAGCGUUUUUGUUCGAAUCGGUUGUGGAAAUCGAUAAUAAGAAGAGGAGACUAUUGAUCAAAAGGCAAUUGGUGGAAAGCAAAAGAGGUAGAAAAUUUCAAUUAGACAUGUAAGCAAGCAUUUGCUUCCUGAACUGAUAUUCAACCUUUGAUGUGUAUGCCUUCAGAUCAAUUAACUAGACAUUGAGAUUUGAGAAAGGGUAACUUCUCAGCAGCUAUUUCCAUUGGAAGUAAUGAAGAAACCCAUUGAUAAAGUGGGGGCCAACGCUAAAUGCUUGGGCCAUAUGCCAAAUGAAACACUAAAACUCAUUACUUGUGCAAACAAUCAACUCUCUUUAUACCUGGACAACUAAGGCAUGUG